rnacentral:lncRNA from 1 species
CGGAUGCACUUCUUGAAAUUCCCAAUCUCUUCAAAAUUCCUGGGAAAAUUACGAGGAAGAUGAGGGUGGGGGUGGGGAGCCAUGGCCGAGAGAGACUUCAUCUUGUCAAGCAAACUACCUUUUUGUAUAUCUGAUUUCUGUUUGUUUGGUUUUUUUUUUUUCUUAAGAUUUUUUUCCCCUUUUCUCUUUUGAGUUAUAUCUGCUCCUGCUGGCCAGAUCUCAGCAGGGGAAACUGGAACUUCUGAAUAUGAAGAAAGGAAUUAUUGUGCAUUUUUUUCCCCUCACAGGUUCAGAAAUAUCCGUUCAUUCUUUAACCUCACAGAUGUGUCUAUUUUGGGAGGAAGGAGGAAACAUGUAGACGCCUAGGCUGCAUUUAUGCUGUAGUUACAAACACUGAAGAAGAUCUGGCCGAAUUUUGCAAAGCAGCCAACAUCCAUCUGAGAUCCUGCAAAUGCAAGUGAAAAGACCCUUCCUCUCACUU